UACGGGGGGGGCAAGCGUUGUUCGGAAUUCCUGGGCGUAAAGGGCUCGUAGGCGGCCAACUAAGUCCGACGUGAAAUCCCCAGGCUUAACCUGGGAACUGCGUCGGAUACUGGAUGGCUUGAAUUCGGGAGAGGGAUGCAGAAUUCCAGGUGUAGCGGUGAAAUGCGUAGAUAUCUGGAGGAACACCGGUGGCGAAGGCGGCAUCCUGGACCAUUACUGACACUGAAAAGCGAAAGCCAGGGGAGCAAACGGG
rnacentral:rRNA from 1 species